rnacentral:rRNA from 1 species
CAAGUCGAGCGGGGUCCAUCCGGUGGCAACACCGGGGAAAGACCUAGCGGCGAACGGGUGAGUAACACGUGAGAAACCUGCCCCGAAGUCUGGGAUAACCCGGGGAAACUCGGACUAAUACCGGAUGCCCUUCACAGAUCGCAUGGUCAGUGAAGGAAAGAAUUUCGUUUCGGGAGGGUCUCGCGGCCUAUCAGCUAGUUGGUGGGGUAACGGCCCACCAAGGCUUCGACGGGUAGCUGGUCUGAGAGGACGAUCAGCCACACUGGGACUGAGACACGGCCCAGACUCCUACGGGAGGCAGCAGUGGGGAAUCUUGCGCAAUGGGCGAAAGCCUGACGCAGCAACGCCGCGUGCGGGAUGACGGCCUUCGGGUUGUAAACCGCUUUCAGCAGGGACGAAUUUUGACGGUACCUGCAGAAGAAGCCCCGGCCAACUACGUGCCAGCAGCCGCGGUAACACGUAGGGGGCGAGCGUUGUCCGGAUUUAUUGGGCGUAAAGAGCUCGUAGGCGGCUCGGUAAGUCAACUGUGAAAGCUCCGGGCUCAACUCGGAGAGGCCAGUUGAUACUGCCGUGGCUAGAGUCCGGUAGGGGAGCGUGGAAUUCCUGGUGUAGCGGUGAAAUGCGCAGAUAUCAGGAGGAACACCAGCGGCGAAGGCGGCGCUCUGGGCCGGAACUGACGCUGAGGAGCGAAAGCGUGGGUAGCAAACAGGAUUAGAUACCCUGGUAUUCCACGCCGUAAACGUUGGGCACUAGGUGUGGGUCUCAACAACGAGAUCCGUGCCGUAGCUAACGCGCUAAGUGCCCGCCUGGG